GGGUUUGUAGCUCAGUGGUAGAGCCCUUGCCUAGCAUGUGUGAGGCCCUGGGUUGAAUCCCCAGCACCA
rnacentral:tRNA from 1 species